UACGUAGGGGGCAAGCGUUGUCCGGAAUUAUUGGGCGUAAAGAGCAGCGUAGGCGGUCCGAUAAGUCGGCUGUGAAAGUCAGGGGCUCAACCCUUGAAAGCCGGCCGAUACUGUCGGACUAGAGUCCGGAAGAGGCGAGUGGAAUUCCCGGUGUAGCGGUGAAAUGCGCAGAGUAUCGGGAAGGAACACCAAUGGCGAAG
rnacentral:rRNA from 1 species